AUGAAAGAUCCUAACACCAGAACCAAGUCUUUCAAGCAGGCCUUCCUCAAGAACCUCCUACUUAGUCUGCAGCUCCAGGCACACACGAGCACAUCCUUCGGUAACGGCGCCAUGAGCCUCCACGAGAAGAAGCGCGCCGUCAAGUCCUCCGUGGAUGUUGCCAUGGCGGCUGCGCACAGCGGCGGAGCGAGGUGGCCCAAGGCCAUCUUGGCACCGGCAUCCAGCGGGUACAAGGUGCAGAGGUGCAGGAGGAUCGUGAGGAGGUGCUGCCGCCGGAAGAAGUGCUGA
rnacentral:rRNA from 1 species